rnacentral:rRNA from 1 species
UACGUAGGGGGCAAGCGUUGUCCGGAUUUAUUGGGCGUAAAGAGCGUGUAGGCGGCCAUACAGGUCAGCUGUGAAAACUCGAGGCUCAACCUCGAGACGUCGGUUGAAACCGUAUGGCUAGAGUCCGGAAGAGGAGAGUGGAAUUCCCGGUGUAGCGGUGAAAUGUGCAGAUAUCGGGAAGAACACCCGUGGCGAAGGCGGCUCUCUGGGACGGUACUGACGCUGAGACGCGAAAGCGUGGGGAGCAAACAGG